rnacentral:rRNA from 1 species
AACGAACGCUGGCGGCGUGCUUAACACAUGCAAGUCGAACGCGAAAGGGACUUCGGCCCUGAGUAAAGUGGCGCACGGGUGAGUAACGCGUAGAUAACCUGUCUUCAUGUCUGGAAUAAUACGCCGAAAGGGGUACUAAUACCGGAUAUUCUUGCUUUUCAUAAGUUAUGCAAGCAAAGGUGGCCUCUGCAUAUGCUACUGCAUGAAGAGGGGUCUGCGUACCAUUAGCUAGUAGGUGGGGUAAUGGCCUACCUAGGCGACGAUGGUUAGCGGGUCUGAGAGGAUGAUCCGCCACACUGGCACUGGAACACGGGCCAGACUCCUACGGGAGGCAGCAGUGAGGAAUAUUGCGCAAGUGGGGAAACCCUGACGCAGCGACGCCGCGUGAGUGAAGGAAGGCCUUCGGGUCGUAAAGCUCUGUCAAGAGGAAAGAAGUGUACAAUGGCUAAUACCUGUUGUAUUUGACGGUACCUCUAAAGGAAGCACCGGCUAACUCCGUGCCAGCAGCGGC